rnacentral:rRNA from 1 species
GACGAACGCUAGCUACAGGCUUAACGCACGCAAGUCGAGGGGUAACGAGAGGAAAGCUUGCUUUCCUUGUCGACGACCGGCGCACGGGUGAGUAACGCGUAUCCAACCUGCCCCCAACUAGGGAAUAACCUUGCGAAAGUAAGACUAAUACCCUAUAAUUUCCUCAGAUGACAUCUGACGAGGAAUAAAGAUUUAUCGGUUGUGGAUGGGGAUGCGUCUGAUUAGCUUGUUGGCGGGGUAACGGCCCACCAAGGCAACGAUCAGUAGGGGUUCUGAGAGGAAGGUCCCCCACAUUGGAACUGAGACACGGUCCAAACUCCUACGGGAGGCAGCAGUGAGGAAUAUUGGUCAAUGGGCGGAGGCCUGAACCAGCCAAGUAGCGUGCAGGAUGACGGCCCUAUGGGUUGUAAACUGCUUUUAUACAGGAAUAAAGUUAGCCACGUGUGGUUAUUUGUAGGUACUGUAUGAAUAAGGACCGGCUAAUUCCGUGCCAGCCGCCGCCGUAA